CUUUACAACUUAUUAUUCUUUGCAUCCCUAUUUUCUACCUACUACAUCAAGAAAGCAAACCAAACGUGUACUAUGUAUGUGUAAAAUAGCUACAACAGCAGCUUUCCAGCAACUUUCCCAUCCCUUUAAUCAUGUCAAGGUACACAUAGGUGUAAAUAAGCCACCUUAUGACAGCUAUCUCCACUUCAACAACGUUCCACCGAGAAAGAGAGAUAGUUUUAAAAAAAUGUUGCAAAGUUAGUGGAAUGAAUAAUAAGUGUGCUCCCUCAGCCCACCACCCUUUGCUCCCUACCUUUUCAACCACCACCUCCACCAUCUUCGAUUCUUUAAGGCUACUAGCCAACACUCCUUGCCUUCAUUCUAUGUUCCUUCAGCCACCAAAGUGAGGAGAAUUCAUUAAGCUGCUGCCAACAUUCAAGGUAAGACUUAAACUUCAAUUUUUCCACCUCUCCCUGUUUCCUCCUGCAUUCAUUGAGGAAAACCAACAAUCUUUAUAUUUCAGUGUAUCUAUCCACUGAUUCAAUCAACAACAACAACCAUCAACAACAAACAAUCAAGGUCAAGCGCGAGAGUAAGAACUAUUCAAGAAGUCACAGUACCUUAGCAAAACUUUGCUAUCAGGUUGAGCUGUGAUGGGCGAUGAAGUGUUGUUGCUGAGUGGAGUUUUUGUCGAACUUAAAGUAGGCUCAGAAAGGAUACAUGUCUUCAUACAUGUAUCUCAGUUAUGCAUUUCGCUGUAAACACUGAUUAUUUCAGUUACGCCUUCCGUUGCAAACUCUGAUAAUGUUUUAGCCAAGCCCCUAACGAUGCCUUUUUCCUUUUAAGGAAUAUAAUGCGUAUACAAGUUCUUUGAGUACCCUUUUUAUGCGAACUA